GGCUCAGUGGUCUAGUAGUAUGAUUCCUGCUUCGGGUGUGUCCGUCCGCUUUCGUAAGGAAGUUCUAUGCAGGAGGUCCCGGGUUCAAUUCCCGGCUGAGCCC
rfam:Fistulina hepatica ATCC 64428 unplaced genomic scaffold FISHEscaffold_145, whole genome shotgun sequence.